rnacentral:rRNA from 1 species
CAGCAGCCGCGGUAAUACGAAGGGUGCAAGCGUCACUCGGAAUUACUGGGCGUAAAGCGUGUGUAGGUGGUUGUUUAAGUCUGUCGUGAAAGCCCUGGGCUCAACCUGGGAAUUGCGAUGGAUACUGGGCGACUAGAGUGCGGUAGAGGAUAGUGGAAUUUCCGGUGUAGCAGUGAAAUGCGUAGAGAUCGGAAGGAACAUCUGUGGCGAAGGCGACUAUCUGGGCCAACACUGACACUAAGACACGAAAGCGUGGGGAGCAAACAGGAUUAGAGACCCCUGUAGUCCCUGUCUCUUAUAU